GAGUUUGAUCCUGGCUCAGGAUGAACGCUGGCGGUAUGCCUAACACAUGCAAGUCGAACGGGCUCUUCGGAGCUAGUGGCGGACGGGUGAGGAACGCGUGAGAACCUGCCUCAAGGUCGGGGACAACAGUUGGAAACGACUGCUAAUACCGGAUGAGCCGAAUAGGUAAAAGAUUUAUCGCCUAGAGAGGGGCUCGCGUCUGAUUAGCUAGAUGGUGAGGUAAAGGCUUACCAUGGCGACGAUCAGUAGCUGGUCUGAGAGGAUGAGCAGCCACACUGGGACUGAGACACGGCCCAGACUCCUACGGGAGGCAGCAGUGGGGAAUUUUCCGCAAUGGGCGAAAGCCUGACGGAGCAAUACCGCGUGAGGGAGGAAGGCUCUUGGGUUGUAAACCUCAAAACUUAGGGAAGAAAAAAAUGACGGUACCUAAUGUAAGCAUCGGCUAACUCCGUGCCAGCAGCCGCGGUAAUACGGAGGAUGCAAGCGUUAUCCGGAAUCAUUGGGCGUAAAGAGUCCGUAGGUGGCACUUCAAGUCUGCUUUCAAAGACCGAAGCUCAACUUCGGAAAGGGAGUGGAAACUGAAGAGCUAGAGUAUAGUAGGGGUAGAGGGAAUUCCUAGUGUAGCGGUGAAAUGCGUAGAGAUUAGGAAGAACACCAGUGGCGAAGGCGCUCUACUGGGCAUAUACUGACACUGAGGGACGAAAGCUAGGGGAGCGAAAGGGAUUAGAUACCCCUGUAGUCCUAGCGGUAAACGAUGGAUACUAGGCGUAGUGCUGUUAGAAGGACUGUGCCGAAGCUAACGCGUUAAGUAUCCCGCCUGGGGAGUACGCACGCAAGUGUGAAACUCAAAGGAAUUGACGGGGACCCGCACAAGCGGUGGAGUAUGUGGUUUAAUUCGAUGCAACGCGAAGAACCUUACCAAGGCUUGACAUCCUGCGAAUCUUGGAGAAAUCUGAGAGUGCCUAAGGGAACGCAGAGACAGGUGGUGCAUGGCUGUCGUCAGCUCGUGUCGUGAGAUGUUGGGUUAAGUCCCGCAACGAGCGCAACCCUCGUCCUUAGUUGCCAGCAUUAAGUUGGGGACUCUAGGGAGACCGCCGGGGAGAACUCGGAGGAAGGUGGGGAUGACGUCAAGUCAGCAUGCCCCUUACGUCUUGGGCUACACACGUACUACAAUGGUUGGGACAAAGGGGAGCGAAACCGCGAGGUGGAGCGAAUCUCAUCAAACCCAGCCACAGUUCAGAUUGCAGUCUGAAACUCGCCUGCAUGAAGGAGGAAUCGCUAGUAAUCGCAGGUCAGCAUAUUGCGGUGAAUCCGUUCCCGGGUCUUGUACACACCGCCCGUCACACCAUGGAAGUUGGUCACGCCCGAAGUCGUUAUUCUAACCCAAGUGGAAGGAGACGCCGAAGGUGGGACUAGUGACUGGGGUGAAG
rnacentral:rRNA from 1 species